ACGCUCGACACCUACGGAGGCAGCAGUGGGGAAUAUUGCACAAUGGGGGAAACCCUGAUGCAGCGACGCCGCGUGAAGGAAGAAGUAUCUCGGUAUGUAAACUUCUAUCAGCAGGGAAGAAAAUGACGGUACCUGACUAAGAAGCCCCGGCUAACUACGUGCCAGCNCGCCGGUAAUCUGAGCGGGCUGGCAAGGC
rnacentral:rRNA from 1 species